GUGCUCGCUUCGGCAGCACAUGCACUAAAAUUGGAACGAUACAGAGAAGAUUAGCAUGGCCCCUGUGCAAGGAUGACGCUAAUUAAUAAAAAAAAAAAAAACCAAAA